AAGACAGGCUCCCCCAGGCUAGUGGAGAUUACAGUUUGGUUUAUACCCAGUCAGACGGUGUUGUCCACAGCGUGAACAUUCAAAUCUAAAAAUAGAACAAACCAGAGCAUUGUUAUUGGUGAGGAAGAGGGGUUCAUUAUUUUCUUUCAUCUUUAAGAAUUAUGUGUAAUUUUCCGUUCAAAGCUCUGCUCUGGUCUGAGGUGAUUUGAUCUUGAGAAAGCGACUGCAUGUGCCUCCUGUGGCUCUAAUGGUUCUGAUGUGAAAUUCUUUAAAGGGAUAUUUGUAACAUUUUCAGCUUCAUAUUCAUCAUCUCCAGCACCACCCCAACAUCAACAUAUGUGAAAAUGUCACGUUUCUAUUUUUUGUAGUAAAAAAAAGAUGGAAGUGAAAUGUUUCCAGUGACAUCAUCGGUGUGCAUCGUGAUUUUAACCAAUUAUGAGGAAGUAUUGCCAAUUUCCAAUUAAUUGUGUACUAAUUGGAAACUAUCUUUCUGACUACAGAAAUGUGCAAUUUUGGGGUGGUGCUGGAGGUGAGGAAUAUGAAGUUGAGAAAGGGGUGGUACUGGAGAUGAGGGAUAUGAAGUUGAGAAAGGGGUGGUGCUGGAAAUGAGGGAUAUGAAGUUGAGAAAGGGGUGGUGCUGGAGGUGAGGAAUAUGAAGUUGAGAAAGGGGUGGUGCUGGAGGUGAGGAAUAUGAAGUUGAGAAAGGGGUGGUGCUGGAGAUGAGGGAUAUGAAGUUGUGAAAGGGGUGGUACUGGAGAUGAGGGAUAUGAAGUUGUGAAAGGGGUGGUACUGGAGAUGAGGAAUAUGAAGUUGAGAAAGGGUGGUGCUGGAGAUGAGGAAUAUGAAUUGAGAAAGGGGUGGUGCUGGAGGUGAGGAAUAUGAAGUUGAGAAAGGGGUGGUGCUGGAGGUGAGGAAUAUGAAGUUGAGAAAGGGGUGGUGCUGGAGGUGAGGGAUAUGAAGUUGAGAAAGGGGUGGUGCUGGAGGUGAGGGAUAUGAAGUUGAGAAAGGGGGAAAUGUCCUUUUAAUAUAUUGAUUUUGAACAACACCUGGAUACCUUGGCUUGAAGACAGACUGACUAAAUUAAACCCAAUCUAGGAUUUUACCUAAAUCUUUCAGUCUUUUCAAAUAUUUUAUAGAAAAAUGAAAGCUAAACGUUUGCUGUGAUUCAUAACAUUUUGCUCGAUGAAAUUCAACAGUAAUUCAUGUCUAGAGACCAAUUAGUUUGAUGUGUUCUGAGCGUGUGAGGAUGUGUUGUCG
ensembl:lncRNA